UACGUAGGGUGCAAGCGUUGUCCGGAAUUAUUGGGCGUAAGGAGCUCGUAGGCGGUUCGUCGCGUCGGCUGUGAAAACCCGGAGCUCAACUCCGGGCCUGCAGUCGAUACGGGCGGACUUGAGUGUUGCAGGGGAGACUGGAAUUCCUGGUGUAGCGGUGAAAUGCGCAGAUAUCAGGAGGAACACCGGUGGCGAAGGCGGGUCUCUGGGCCGAUACUGACGCUGAGGAGCGAAAGCGUGGGGAGCGAACAGG
rnacentral:rRNA from 1 species